AUUGAACGCUGGCGGCAUGCUUUACACAUGCAAGUCGAACGGUAACAGGGUGCUUGCACCGCUGACGAGUGGCGAACGGGUGAGUAAUGCGUCGGAACGUGCCGAGUAGUGGGGGAUAACGCAGCGAAAGGUGUGCUAAUACCGCAUACGUACUGAGGUAGAAAGUGGGGGACCUUCGGGCCUCACGCUAUUAGAGCGGCCGACGUCUGAUUAGCUAGUAGGGGAGGUAAAGGCUCACCUAGGCGACAAUCAGUAGCGGGUCUGAGAGGAUGAUCCGCCACACUGGGACUGAGACACGGCCCAGACUCCUACGGGAGGCAGCAGUGGGGAAUUCUGGACAAUGGGCGAAAGCCUGAUCCAGCCAUGCCGCGUGUCUGAAGAAGGCCUUCGGGUUGUAAAGGACUUUUGUCAGGGAGGAAAUCCCUAGUGCUAAUAACACUGGGGGAUGACAGUACCUGAAGAAUAAGCACCGGCUAACUACGUGCCAGCCGCCGCCGUAA
rnacentral:rRNA from 1 species